ACCUGGUUGAUCCUGCCAGUAGUCAUAUGCUUGUCUCAAAGACUAAGCCAUGCAUGUCUAAGUAUAAGCGAUUUAUAGUGAAACUGCGAAUGGCUCAUUAAAACAGUUAUAGUUUAUUUGAUAAUCGAAUUUUACAUGGAUAACCGUGGUAAUUCUAGAGCUAAUACAUGCUGUUAAGCCUGACUUUUUGGAAGGGCUGUAUUUAUUAGAUACAAACCAAUAUUCCUUCGGGUCUAUUGUGAUGAUUCAAUAUAACUGAUCGAAUCGCAUGGUCUUGCACCGCGAUAAAUCAUUCAAGUUUCUGCCCCAUCAGCUUUCGAUGGUAGUGUAUUGGACUACCAUGGCGUUCACGGGUAACGGAGAAUUAGGGUUCGAUUCCGGAGAGGGAGCCUGAGAAACGGCUACCACAUCUAAGGAAGGCAGCAGGCGCGUAAAUUACCCAAUCCUGACACAGGGAGGUAGUGACAAUAAAUAACAAUGCCGGGCCAUUUUUGGUCUGGCAAUUGGAAUGAGAACAAUUUAAAUCCCUUAUCGAGGAUCAAUUGGAGGGCAAGUCUGGUGCCAGCAGCCGCGGUAA
rnacentral:rRNA from 1 species